rnacentral:rRNA from 1 species
GACGAACGCUGGCGGCGUGCUUAACACAUGCAAGUCGAACGGAAAGGCCCUGCUUUUGUGGGGUGCUCGAGUGGCGAACGGGGGAGUAACACGUGAGUAACCUGCCCUUGACUUUGGGAUAACUUCAGGAAACUGGGGCUAAUACCGGAUAGGAGCUCCUGCUGCAUGGAGGGGGGUGGAAAGUUUCGGCGGUUGGGGAUGGACUCGCGGCUUAUGAGCUUGUUGGUGGGGUAGUGGCUGACCAAGGCUGUGACGGGUAGCCGGCCUGGGAGCGUGACCGGGCACCUUGGGCCUACGGUACGGCCCAGUCGGCUACGGUAGGCAGCAGUGGGAAACAUUGCACAGCGGGCCGGAGCCUGAUACAGCGGCGCCGCGUGCGGAAUGACGGCCUUCUGGGUAUGAACCGCUUUCGCCUGUGACGAAGCGGUAGUGACGGUAAUGGGUAAAGAAGCACCGGCUAACUACGUG